CCUGACAAGAAGCAACCUCGCUAACAAUUAUCCCGUGAGUUCAUACGAGUUGAGGUGGGGCAACUGCAAAAACAACGGCAGAGAAUGUCAAGCGGUGGGGAAUUGAAUACUCUGUUGAAAGAAAAUGCUGAUGUGAUGAUGGAUUCCACGCGAGUGUGCCAUCCGCGCGAAUGGAACCCGAGAUCAACCAAUAUGGCUGAUAUGUGUGUCAUACAUAACCGGACAGGACAUACUUCUAUUUCAUGAGCGGCUUCUGAAUCGCAGAGCAGACACAUACAUAUAUAAGCAACUGAGUAUAUUAUUUAUCUACCAAACCAAGAAACUUCAAACUCGGGGGGAACAUUGAUAAAAGAUUUGUGAAAAUAAAGCGGUGUGCCUAGUAAACAAACAAACUAGUUACUAGAACUCGCGUCCAAAGAUCAAUCAAGAAAACUCCUCAACAGAAGGCAUCAUAUCAUCAAAACCCAUCCUUUUCCAUUCAAUACACGCGAUCCAUAUUAUCCUCAAUUCUACCAUUCCAAGCAUCGCCCGAUUGGACGUUCAAGGCCUGCUUUACGAAUGGGAAUCCAAUCAAUUUUUUUUCAAGCCAACAAAACUGUCCUCCAGAGGCUGUGCCAGAGCUAAAGCCAGAUCUUAUGAAAGCAGAGUUUGUUGUGUUUUGAAGGCCGUGGAAGUAGGAUAUCGUGGAGGAAUUUCGGGGGAGGAAAGGUCAG
rnacentral:sRNA from 1 species